rnacentral:rRNA from 1 species
GCCAGACUCCUACGGGAGGCAGCAGUGGGGAAUAUUGCACAAUGGGGGAAACCCUGAUGCAGCGACGCCGCGUGAGUGAAGAAGUAUUUCGGUAUGUAAAGCUCUAUCAGCAGGGAAGAUAAUGACGGUACCUGACUAAGAAGCCCCGGCUAACUACGUGCCAGCAGCCGCGGUAAUACGUAGGGGGCAAGCGUUAUCCGGAUUUACUGGGUGUAAAGGGUGCGCAGGUGGCAGGGCAAGUCAGAUGUGAAAGCCCGGGGCUCAACCCCGGUAUUGCAUUUGAAACUGUCCGGCUAGAGUGCAGGAGAGGUAAGCGGAAUUCCUAGUGUAGCGGUGAAAUGCGUAGAUAUUAGGAGGAACACCAGUGGCGAAGGCGGCUUACUGGACUGUAACUGACACUGAGGCACGAAAGCGUGGGGAGCAAACAGGAUUAGAUACCCGCGUA